rnacentral:rRNA from 1 species
CUACGGGAGGCAGCAGUGGGGAAUCUUGCGCAAUGGGCGAAAGCCUGAUCCAGCCAUGCCGCGUGAGUGAUGAAGGCCUUAGGGUUGUAAAGCUCUUUUAUCCGGGAAGAUAAUGACUGUACCGGAAGAAUAAGCCCCGGCUAACUUCGUGCCAGCAGCCGCGGUAAUACGAAGGGGGCUAGCGUUGCUCGGAAUCACUGGGCGUAAAGGGCGCGUAGGCGGCCGAUCAAGUCAGAGGUGAAAGCCCAGGGCUCAACCCUGGAAUUGCCUUUGAUACUGUUCGGCUAGAGACCGGAAGAGGUAAGUGGAACUGCGAGUGUAGAGGUGAAAUUCGUAGAUAUUCGCAAGAACACCAGUGGCGAAGGCGGCUUACUGGUCCGGUUCUGACGCUGAGGCGCGAAAGCGUGGGGAGCAAACAGGAUUAGAUACCCCAGUAGUCC